rnacentral:rRNA from 1 species
ACGCUCGACACCUACGGGAGGCAGCAGUGGGGAAUAUUGCACAAUGGGGGAAACCCUGAUGCAGCGACGCCGCGUGAGCGAAGAAGUAUUUCGGUAUGUAAAGCUCUAUCAGCAGGGAAGAAACUGACGGUACCUGACCAAGAAGCACCGGCUAAAUACGUGUCAGCAGCCGCGGUAAUCUGAGCGGGCUGGCAAGGC